UCUGUAACUCUGUUUCACUUGUUCUGGUAAAAGGGUUGAAAGAAAGUUGUGGGUUAUUUUGGUGUGGUACUUUACUUUAGAACUGUCAUUGUGGGUUUUUAUAUAGACAGAUUCUAUAUUGAUGGAGAAGACAGAGGUGUUGGUAGGAUAUUACAAUUUCCUGUAAGGUGAGAGUGAUGAUAAAUUGUUGAUAAGGAAUGCUUGGUUGCUGUAGUUUCAACUUGAUAUUGUGUUUGUUGAUUCAGUCAAUAUAUUAGCUGCCAGGUUCAGGAAUUCAAUUACCUUGUUUCUGGUGGCCUUGUUUUUUUUGUGUGGUUUUUGUGAUUCCAAAAAUGACACCUUUUUCUUGUUAUGGCACGAGUAUGGAUAAGUCGACUCGGUACUAAUUAUUGGUGUACCUUUGUUUCAAAACCGCUGAUGGUCGUGGGGAGGGAGGAUAAGCCGAACACUUGGUUUGUGGAUUGGUAAUUUCGUGCACACAUGUGACAAUCUAAGUUGAUACAUGUCCCUCAGUGCGUGAUUGGUUCGUCGAAACACUGUGCUAGGUGCCUCACCCCUCAAGGGUACUGUGUAGACUCUUAGGCCCUGUUUUGUUUUCCCUGGACUGAAUGUUACUAAACUGCAACAAAAAAAAGGGCCUUAUUGCUGUAAUGUUUUGCACUGAUGCAUACAGACUGUGGUUAGGUGCAAGCAGGCAACUUUGAUCUGAUGCCUUGUUACUCGACGAGGCAACUUUGAUCUGAUGCCUUGUACUGGCAACAUUUUUUUUCACUUUCUCUCUUUUUGUCUCCUUUUCUCUUUCUUCCGUCGAUUUAUUCCUCAUAUUGACCUGGUUGCUUCUCUUCUUCUUUAUCUCCCCGUUUUCAAUUUCUGUUCUCUCAUAUUGACCUGGUUUAUGUUCUUGCCCCUUCAUGCUUGCUCCCCAUUUUAACCUCUCUUUUCUCCCCUUCCUGCUUAAUCUGAUAAAAAAUGGAAGAGACGGAAGACAAGGAUGUUUUACAGACACAUCUCGCCUAGAACCAGAUCUCCAAGGUAAGGGCUUACCUACUUUUCUCGAUCUCCUAUUAUAUCGGUUCUCAUUUUUUUAACUACUAGGGUUAUAAAGAUUUAUGAAGUUUAGGUUUUUUUGGUUUACAUGGAUGAUAAUUUUAUUUUUGAAUUCGUUCUUUUUCCCGUCAAUUUUCAGAUCCAAUUCUCGAUUCUUGAAGUCUACUGUGUUUGAUUUUGUUUUGGAUUUUAUGAAAUUUAAACAAUUAGAAAUCAUUGUACGGAGAAUGCUAUGAUUGAGUUUAGGAAGAUUGAAGGAGAAUGCUGCUACAAUUAAGAAUGAGUGCUAAUGUGGCCUUAUCUGCCCAAUGGAAAUCAAAUGUUUCUGGCGAUGAACACACCUGGGUCACUUUAAGAGCAAGGUCAAUUUUCUCACUUGCCUGUGGAUGAAUAUUCGGCUAUUAUUGAUUAAUUUUUCGAUAUCAUAAUUGAAUAUGUUGUGGAUCGAGUAUUGAUUUGGGGAACUUGGUGUAGUAUGCAUACAUGAUUGUAUGCUUUUAAUUGAUAUUUUUUAUUCCCUUAAUGUUUGAAGGACUUGAAGAAUUAGUCCAUCAUAUCGGAAUGAGACAUAUAUAAUCAUGAUAGGAGCUAUUAUACAAGCUUUUUGUCUCUUUUUAUGCUGAUGAACUAGGGGUUAAAAAAAUUCAAGAAGGAAACUAACAUUUUCAAAUUUCAUGGUUCUCUUUGUGGCUUAUCAAUCCUUGUUCAGACAGUUUUUUUGUUUUCCUACCUAGGUUAAAGUAUUAAAGAACAUUUUAGAUCAUGUCACUUCAUAGAGAAUGUUUCUGGUGUCCCGGAAAUCUUCUUUCACAGUCUCACGAAAGAGCAGUACACUCCAGGCUUCCUUUUCCUGCCGAGUUAUGAUUUCAGUGAUGUAUUUUUCUGAAAGUUAUGUGUGUUUAGUUGUCUAUUGACUUUACAAUGAUCUAAACUUGAAGCUUCCCUAGAUCUAGAUAUCUAAAUAAGCUCGUCUUUAGUUUGGAACGUAAAUGACUAGACUAUAUAUAUAAGAGAAGCUUGCAUAUGUAAUUAAGAUGUGAUAUUUGCUGAUGAGUACAUAGAAUGCGAGCUCUUGAUUCUCGUCAUUGAUUUGGUCCUUCACAAGCCUCAAGCUUACAGGCACUUUCUCUUCAACGUGCUCCACCGCAAUAAUUCAGAUUUUGACACCUAAUUGUUCAAAGCAUCCUUAUUUUUUUUUGGCAAUUCAAAGCAUCCUUCUUUUUCCUCUUUGUUGAUGCUUACAAGUUAUGGAUUUUGAAUGAGACCUCAAAAGUGUUGUCGGUUUUGACAUUGGGAUUGAAAUCUUUGGGAUGUUCCCUUAUAGGGAAUUUGGUGUUCUUUUUGUGUUUUCAAGGAGAUUUUAUACUUUUAUAGAGGGUUUUUCUGGGUUCAAAGAUGUGUUGCUCACCGUGGUUGUUUCAAGUUACUUGAAGAUUUAUAUGCUGUCCAUGUUGAUCUGGGAAUUCCCUGCUUCAAUGGUUCAUAUCAUUGAUUUGUUUGUUAUGUCAUCUAAUCUGGUAGCUCUACGGGUGAUCUCUGAAUCCUCUUUUACUAAAUGUGUCGGGUUGUGCCUGGGUGCCCAUGCCAUGAAGUUCUUUGUAAACUGGAUGCUAAAAUAGUGACGAUGUUGCUGUUGAAUUCUGGGUCAUUCAAUCAUUCAUUUACAGGAUUCCAUACUUCUAUUCUCGGUUAUCAGAUAUAGUGAGUUGGAUGCUUUAAGAUCUAUUCGCGGUUAUUGAACAUGUUUAGAGAGAACACUCAUUUUUUAUUUUGACUGAAUGAAUUAUCUGGUUCCCUUGAUCUAGAAUAAAAUGUGUUUAUUAUGUUGCACUUUGAGCACAAUUUUUUUAGUAGCAGGUUGGUAACAUCUAACAUGGAUUCCCAGAAGAAUCCAGCUGAAACUAAAUCAUCUGCUACUGCACCAACUCCAGCAAUUGCUUCAUGUCGGAGGAAGAAGAAAGAUGAUGCGACUUUCCUAGAGGAUUUAAAGGGCCAUAUUGAUGAGUUUAUCGAUGCUUCCAUGGAUGAACAUAAGUUAUGCUUCACAAAAACCAUUCAAAAGGGCAGAUGUUUUCAAUAUCGAAGGUAGUGGCACAACGGAAUUCUGAGCAGCAGGAAGUAGAGAGUGUUCUUUUUACCCCUGUUUAGCGUUAGUUUUGACUUUUGAACACCGUUAUAAGUUAAUAACGUAUAUUUAUGAUAUUCUAUCAUCUAGGAUAACUACGUAAUAAACUUGUGACUUAUAUUCACUUACAGAAAUGUUUACUUCUUUGCAAAUAUGCUUCCUUUGUAUCCUGUGCUUUAAAAAUCUGUCUAAUUCUGAGGAUAUUCUAAUUUGUUGUUGGUAUCUUUUGUUUGAGGAACUCUUGGCAACAUCUACUAAGGUUGUUAUCACUUGGGCACAAAGUGUGGCUUCAGAAGACCACCCGCGAACCACAGGAAUCAACUGUAGACCGUCGCAUUUGAGGAACAACUUGAAAUAGUACACUACUUAUAGCACUAUGACAGGAGUUGUCAUGAUGUAGGAUAAGAGCUCCAAGGAUAUGGUCCCCCAAAGUAAUAGGAUUGUUACAUUGUAGUCAGCUCAUGAGAUAGCAGCUGAUUGUAAAUGGUUAUAUGAGGGUGUUACGGAUGCAACAAAAAAGAUGGUUUAAUGUUGCGCUUAAAUAGUUAUUUAUGUAGAUGGAUUCAACCAUAAACAUUUCCCGUAGUUAUUGAUGAAUCAUGUAAUUCUUGUUUAAUUAGUAUAGUUUUU